rnacentral:rRNA from 1 species
CCUACGGGAGGCUGCAGUAGGGAAUCUUCCACAAUGGGCGAAAGCCUGAUGGAGCAACGCCGCGUGGGUGAAGAAGGUCUUCGGAUCGUAAAACCCUGUUGUUAGAGAAGAAAGUGCGUGCGAGUAACUGUUCACGUUUCGACGGUAUCUAACCAGAAAGCCACGGCUAACUACGUGCCAGCAGCCGCGGUAAUACGUAGGUGGCAAGCGUUAUCCGGAUUUAUUGGGCGUAAAGGGAACGCAGGCGGUCUUUUAAGUCUGAUGUGAAAGCCUUCGGCUUAACCGGAGUAGUGCAUUGGAAACUGGGAGACUGGAGUGCAGAAGAGGAGAGUGGAACUCCAUGUGUAGCGGUGAAAUGCGUAGAUAUAUGGAAGAACACCAGUGGCGAAAGCGGCUCUCUGGUCUGUAACUGACGCUGAGGUUCGAAAGCGUGGGUAGCAAACAGGAUUAGAUACCCUGGUAGUC